rnacentral:rRNA from 1 species
AACGCGAAGAACCUUACCUACUCUUGACAUCCAGGGAAUUCUGCAGAGAUGCGGAAGUGCCGAAAGGAACCCUGAGACAGGUGCUGCAUGGCUGUCGUCAGCUCGUGUUGUGAGAUGUUGGGUUAAGUCCCGUAACGAGCGCAACCCUUAUCCUUAGUUGCCAACACGUCAUGGUGGGGACUCUAAGGGGACUGCUGGUGAAGAACCGGAGGAAGGCGGGGACGACGUCAAGUCAUCAUGGCCUUUAUGAGUAGGGCAACACACGUGCUACAAUGGGAAACACAGAGGGAAGCCAACCUGCGAAGGGGAGCCAAUCUCAGAAAAUUUCUCGUAGUCCGGAUUGGAGUCUGCAACUCGACUCCAUGAAGUUGGAAUCGCUAGUAAUCGCGAAUCAGAACGUCGCGGUGAAUACGUUCCCGGGCCUUGUACACACCGCUACAGU